CCAAAUGCAAAGCGUGCUAAAGCUGUCAGGAUACAAUGAAAAUUAAACUUGAAUGAGAUUCAAAGUUGAAAUUAUAAUCAAAUUACACCUCAGAGACAGGGAAAAGGUUCCCUCACAGCACCCAACAACAACCCUCUCCUUGUCCUGAUUCAGUUUGAGUUUAAGAAACAAAGCAAACUUGGAGGGACACAGAGAGAGAGACAGAGAGAGAGGGAGGGAGAGGGAGUGCUAAAAGAUUACGUUUCCAGAAAAACAUAGGUACUGGAAAAUACAAGGAAGCUCUAAUUUAAUAUGGCUUUAUGCGUCCAUAAAAUUAUAAAAACACAAAUCAUUUGGUGAUAUUUUCAGAAACAAUAACCAUUAAUCUUUUAACUCAACUCAAUUCAACUAAGCCUUUAUCCCAAAAA
rnacentral:misc_RNA from 1 species